GGUAUGAAUCAGGAUCAGGACUAACCAGUUCAGACUCCAUUCAGCAGCAGAGCAGAGUCUGGAUCAGGACAGUUACUGGAACUGAAUCACUGGGACUGACUGGUUCUGGUUUCUCUCUCAAGACGUCCAGAAGAUGGAAGAUCUGGAUCGGAAAAAGAACAGAGCAGAACCUACAGGAUCCAUCUGUCCCUCCUUGAGGAGUGAUUGGUCCAAAGACCCUCCUCCAGACAUCAGUACCGAAUCUGGACCAUCAGACUCAGAAGGGCAGAACCACAGAUGGAGAGCAGAACCUCAAGGAUCCAUCAGUCCGUCCAUGAGGAGUGAUGUCAACAAA